AUCCUGGCCCAAGAUGAACGCUGGCGGCGUGCCUAACACUUGCAAGUCAAACGAAGCGUGCCGGAGGAUUUUUUCGGAUGGAAUCCGGGAUGACUGAGUGGCGGACGGUUGAUUAACGCGUGGCUACCCUGCCCUGUACGGGGAGACAACAGUUAAAAAUGACUGCUAAUACCGCAUACGCGCACAGGACCGCGUGGUCCGGUGUGAAAAACUCCGGUGGCACACGAUGGACCCGCGUCUGAUUAGGUAGUCGGCGGGGUAACGGCCCACCACGCCGACGAUCAGUAGCCGACCUGAGAGGGUGACCGGCCACAUUGGGACUGAGACACGGCCCAAACUCCUACGGGAGGCAGCAGUGGGGAAUAUUGCACAAUGGGGGAAACCCUGAUGCAGCGACGCCGCGUGAGUGAAGAAGUCAUUCGUGAUGUAAAGCUCUAUCAGCAGGGAAGAAAAUGACGGUACCUGACUAAGAAGCCCCGGCUAACUACGUGCCAGCAGCCGCGGUAAUACGUAGGGGGCAAGCGUUAUCCGGAUUUACUGGGUGUAAAGGGAGCGUAGACGGCCAGGCAAGUCUGGAGUGAAAGCCCGGGGCUCAACCCCGGGACUGCUUUGGAAACUGUAGGGCUGGAGUGCAGGAGGGGUAAGCGGAAUUCCUAGUGUAGCGGUGAAAUGCGUAGAUAUUAGGAGGAACACCGGUGGCGAAGGCGGCUUACUGGACUGCAACUGACGUUGAGGCUCGAAGGCGUGGGGAGCAAACAGGAUUAGAUACCCUGGUAGUCCACGCGGUAAACCGAUGAUUACUAGAUGUCGGGGAGGAAUGACUGCCCGGUGCCUUCGCAAAACACAAAAAGUAAUUCCCCCUGGGGAGUAAGGUGGCAAGAAUGAUGCUCAAAGGAAUUGACGGGGGCCCGCCCCAGCGGUGGAGCAUGUUGUUUAAUUAGAUGCAACGGGAAGAACCUUACCCGGCCUUGACAUCCCCUCGGCGAGAGGGUAAUGCCUCUAUCCCUUCUUGGCACGCGAGACAGGUGGUGCAUGGUUGUCGUCAGCUCGUGUCGUGAGAGGGUGGGAUAAGUCCCGCAACGAGCGCAACCCCUGUCCCCAGUAGCCAGCAGGUAAAGCUGGGCACUCUGGGGGGACUGCCCGGGAGAACCGGGAGGAAGGCGGGGAUGACGUCAAAUCAUCAUGCCCCUUAUGGUCGGGGCUACACACGUGCUACAAUGGCGCCAACAGAGGGAGGCGAGCGGGCGAGGGCGAGCGAAUCCCAAAAAAAGCGUCUCAGUUCGGAUUGCAGCCUGCAACAUCGCCUGCAUGAAGCAGGAAUCGCUAGUAAUCGCGGAUCAGAAUGCCGCGGGGAAUACGUUCCCGUGUCUUGCACACACC
rnacentral:rRNA from 1 species